rnacentral:rRNA from 1 species
ACUGCGUACCUUUUGUAUAAUGGGUCAGCGACUUAUAUUCUGUAGCAAGGUUAACCGAAUAGGGGAGCCGGAGGGAAACCGAGUCUUAAUUGGGCGUUAAGUUGCAGGGUAUAGACCCGAAACCCGGUGAUCUAGCCAUGGGCAGGUUGAAGGUUGGGUAACACUAACUGGAGGACCGAACCGACUAAUGUUGAAAAAUUAGCGGAUGACCUGUGGCUGGGGGUGAAAGGCCAAUCAAACCGGGAGAUAGCUGGUUCUCCCCGAAAGCUAUUUAGGUAGCGCCUCGUGAAUUCAUCUCCGGGGGUAGAGCACUGUUUCGGCUAGGGGGCCAUCCCGGCUUACCAACCCGAUGCAAACUGCGAAUACCGGAGAAUGUUAUCACGGGAGACACACGGCGGGUGCUAACGUCCGUCGUGAAGAGGGAAACAACCCAGACCGCCAGCUAAGGUCCCAAAGUCAUGGUUAAGUGGGAAACGAUGUGGGAAGGCCCAGACAGCCAGGAUGUUGGCUUAGAAGCAGCCAUCAUUUAAAGAAAGCGUAAUAGCUCACUGGUCGAGUCGGCCUGCGCGGAAGAUGUAACGGGGCUAAACCAUGCACCGAAGCUGCGGCAGCGAACGUAUCACCCAAGACAACUUUACGGAGUUGACGAUUGACGGAGCGAAGCGACGUCAAAGCGUUCAUUAAAGUCGAGUUGGCUUAGGGAUACGUUCGUUGGGUAGGGGAGCGUUCUGUAAGCCUGUGAAGGUGGCCUGUGAGGGUUGCUGGAGGUAUCAGAAGUGCGAAUGCUGACAUAAGUAACGAUAAAGCGGGUGAAAAGCCCGCUCGCCGGAAGACCAAGGGUUCCUGUCCAACGUUAAUCGGGGCAGGGUGAGUCGACCCCUAAGGCGAGGCCGAAAGGCGUAGUCGAUGGGAAACGGGUUAAUAUUCCCGUACUUGGUGUUACUGCGAAGGGGGGACGGAGAAGGCUAUGUUGGCCGGGCGACGGUUGUCCCGGUUUAAGCGUGUAGGUGUGUGUUCCAGGUAAAUCCGGUUCACUUUAACACUGAGGCGUGACGACGAGGCACUACGGUGCUGAAGCAACAAAUGCCCUGCUUCCAGGAAAAGCCUCUAAGCAUCAGGUAACAUCAAAUCGUACCCCAAACCGACACAGGUGGUCAGGUAGAGAAUACCAAGGCGCUUGAGAGAACUCGGGUGAAGGAACUAGGCAAAAUGGUGCCGUAACUUCGGGAGAAGGCACGCUGACACGUAGGUGAAGUGAUUUACUCAUGGAGCUGAAGUCAGUCGAAGAUACCAGCUGGCUGCAACUGUUUAUUAAAAACACAGCACUGUGCAAACACGAAAGUGGACGUAUACGGUGUGACGCCUGCCCGGUGCCGGAAGGUUAAUUGAUGGGGUCAGCGCAAGCGAAGCUCCUGAUCGAAGCCCCGGUAAACGGCGGCCGUAACUAUAACGGUCCUAAGGUAGCGAAAUUCCUUGUCGGGUAAGUUCCGACCUGCACGAAUGGCGUAAUGAUGGCCAGGCUGUCUCCACCCGAGACUCAGUGAAAUUGAACUCGCUGUGAAGAUGCAGUGUACCCGCGGCAAGACGGAAAGACCCCGUGAACCUUUACUAUAGCUUGACACUGAACAUUGAGCCUUGAUGUGUAGGAUAGGUGGGAGGCUUUGAAGUGUGGACGCCAGUCUGCAUGGAGCCGACCUUGAAAUACCACCCUUUAAUGUUUGAUGUUCUAACGUGGACCCGUAAUCCGGGUUGCGGACAGUGUCUGGUGGGUAGUUUGACUGGGGCGGUCUCCUCCUAAAGAGUAACGGAGGAGCACGAAGGUUGGCUAAUCCUGGUCGGACAUCAGGAGGUUAGUGCAAUGGCAUAAGCCAGCUUGACUGCGAGCGUGACGGCGCGAGCAGGUGCGAAAGCAGGUCAUAGUGAUCCGGUGGUUCUGAAUGGAAGGGCCAUCGCUCAACGGAUAAAAGGUACUCCGGGGAUAACAGGCUGAUACCGCCCAAGAGUUCAUAUCGACGGCGGUGUUUGGCACCUCGAUGUCGGCUCAUCACAUCCUGGGGCUGAAGUAGGUCCCAAGGGUAUGGCUGUUCGCCAUUUAAAGUGGUACGCGAGCUGGGUUUAGAACGUCGUGAGACAGUUCGGUCCCUAUCUGCCGUGGGCGCUGGAGAACUGAGGGGGGCUGCUCCUAGUACGAGAGGACCGGAGUGGACGCAUCACUGGUGUU